rnacentral:rRNA from 1 species
CCGAGUUGUAAUUUGUAGAAGGUAACUUUGGAAUUGGCUCUUGUCUAUGUUCCUUGGAACAGGACGUCACAGAGGGUGAGAAUCCCGUGCGAUGAGGUGCCCAAUUCUAUGUAAAGUGCUUUCGAAGAGUCGAGUUGUUUGGGAAUGCAGCUCUAAGUGGGUGGUAAAUUCCAUCUAAAGCUAAAUAUUGGCGAGAGACCGAUAGCGAACAAGUACAGUGAUGGAAAGAUGAAAAGAACUUUGAAAAGAGAGUGAAAAAGUACGUGAAAUUGUUGAAAGGGAAGGGCUUGAGAUCAGACUUGGUAUUUUGCGUUCCUUCCCCUCGUGGGUUGGUUCCUCGCAGCUUACCGGGCCAGCAUCGGUUUGGAUGGUAGGAUAAUGACAUUGGAAUGUGACACCGCUUCGGUGGUGUGUUAUAGCCUUUGUUGAUACUGCCUGUCUAGACCGAGGACUGCGUCUUUGACUAGGAUGUUGGCAUAAUGAUCUUAAGUCGCCCGUCUUGAAA